AUGGGACUGGACACUUUGAGUGCCUUGGGAAAGCUCUUCUGCUCUUUGUCCUUUGGAAUACAGAGAAAACCAGCUAGAGCCCCAAAAUGGCUUUUAUUUGCACCUACCUGCUGCCUCUCCAUCUCUUCCAGCUGGCACAUUUGGGAGGUGCAAAGGGCUGAAAAACUGCUGAAGAAUUGCAUCUUCACUGCAUGGAGAAAUCCAGAGGUGCCUUGCAGGGACAUAAUCUAUACAGAGAAUAAUUUUAAAUUGUUCCCCAUGUGAAGAUGCCGAGGAGAAAAAGGCAGUACUAUGUGAUAUUGCUUCAAGUAUGUUCAUUGACCUGGUCAGAGAGGUGGAGCUGCUGGAUGACCAUGGUGUGAAUAACUACGGGA
rnacentral:lncRNA from 1 species